CGGUCGUAAAAGGAUGCGAGCAACAUCAAGAGCUACAUUUCCCUGGCCCAGAAUAAUAGCUGUAUCAGUGCUCUUCAAAUCAGGAUUCAGGUUUCUGCCAUCUGGGUGGCCAUUAUACCACCAAACAAAUUCUCUAGCUGAGUGUAUCCCUGACAAAUCUUCUCCUGGAAUGCCAAGGUCUCUAUCACUUUCAGCACCGUAGGCAAGUACAACCACA
rnacentral:misc_RNA from 1 species